rnacentral:snoRNA from 1 species
AACAACCCUCUGCAGGAGAAUCAUUUCUAUAGUAUUCGACCCAUCUUUGGUUCCCAAAAGGAGCCACAGAAUCGACCCUGGUUGAUGAAUGUAUAUCCUCGCCACCCUAGAGUGAAGAUUCCCGGUCCUCUCGAACUGCCCGCAAGGGCGGCGGCAGCCUGCCUUCUCCCUCGUGAGAGGCGGCUGUUGUAUAGAGAUGGUAUACGGCCGCUCCUGUGGUCUCACUUGAUGAUCUCUACCCUGCUAGCGGUCUUGCCUUCGGGCGCGCGGGUGGGGUGGGUGCUGAUGGACGUCUGACAGGC